AAGUCUAUACUUUCAGGGAUUGUUUCUAUAGUUUUUAACUAGGAAAUAUGAAUUGAAAGUGUUGUGUCUCUCUAAUCACAUUGAUGAGUUCUGAUGUGCUCUUCUGAUUAUGAAUCAGAUUGAUGCUGAUGAUUUUUUCCUGAGUCUUUGAUGAAUGUUCUUCACUUUUUAGUAAGUGUGUGAGGAAGAGUGCAUGAUCAGAAUGUU